AGUGAACGCUGGCGGUAGGCCUAACACAUGCAAGUCGAACGGCAGCACAGUGAGAGCUUGCUCUUACGGGUGGCGAGUGGCGGACGGGUGAGGAAUACAUCGGAAUCUACUUUUUCGUGGGGGAUAACGUAGGGAAACUACGCUAAUACCGCAUACGACCUACGGGUGAAAGCAGGGGAUCUUCGGACCUUGCGCGAUUGAAUGAGCCGAUGUCGGAUUAGCUAGUUGGCGGGGUAAAGGCCCACCAAGGCGACGAUCCGUAGCUGGUCUGAGAGGAUGAUCAGCCACACUGGAACUGAGACACGGUCCAGACUCCUACGGGAGGCAGCAGUGGGGAAUAUUGGACAGUGGGCGCAAGCCUGAUCCAGCCAUACCGCGUGGGUGAAGAAGGCCUUCGGGUUGUAAAGCCCUUUUGUUGGGAAAGAAAAGCAGCAGGUUAAUACCCCGCUGUUCUGACGGUACCCAAAGAAUAAGCACCGGCUAACUUCGU
rnacentral:rRNA from 1 species